ensembl:lncRNA
CAAGAACAUUUGUUAUUUCUACCCAGGCGGAAAGCAAACAGCAGCAAGAGCAGCAGAAGAUUCAAUGUCGGAACAGCCUACAAACUGCAGGCUGUAACCUCGACGGUAUUGAUUGAGUGCACUUGUCCAUCUUCAUUUUUAACGCAAAAUAAAAUGCGUGAAGAACUGUGGAGAUGGCCAGGCAAAGGAGGAUCUUCUUGGCUUCAUUUGUACCAGAGCACUUUAUCAAGACUGAAUAUAAUUUUGCUGGCCUAUUUAUGAGCUAAAAAUAGACAUUAUUUUGUUUGGCCCAUUUUCCAUCUUAGGCUCUCCUGGGAGCCCAGGUGAACUGUGGCUCAUUUUUAACUCCCUCCCAUCAUUGCGUAUUUUCCGUCGACCCAGGCUGCAUGGAAGUGAAAGUCACUUUGUACUGCCAGUCGCACUGGAGCGCGCUGAAUCUCCCAGAAGCAGGGAAAGAAAAAGGCCCGUGGAGAGGACUUUCCAUUCUUAGCGAAACCUAGCUGCUGUGGCCUGAGGGGCUAAUCAAGCAUUAUAAACACUGAUUAAAUAAGUUUGGAUGGGAGCAAAUUCUGCAUCUUCCGCCGCUGACUCGUGGGUCCUGAGGGGACUGCCCCUCCUACCCAGAUCUUGCUGUGGGUAGAAUUUAUGAAACUGUAAUCCAGCGACCUUCGUGUGGUCUCCAGACAAUCUCCUCCUGAGCUUAGAACUUUAGAGCUGAAUGUUACCUUAUAGAUGAUCUAGAUCCUUGCUACUGAAAACGUAACGCGCGGAACAGCAGACGGCCCUCAUCAGGAAUCUCGUCAGACAUGUAGAAUUCCCACCCCAGCCCUACGGAAUCAGAUCACGCCUUAAACGAGAUUUCCAGGUGGUUCACAUGCGCAUUGAAGUUCAAGAAGCAAUGGUGUGGAUCAAGACCCUUGUUUUAUAGGUUAGGAUGCUGUGGCCCCGAUCUGGGCAGUUAUUAGCUAGCAUCCCACAACAACCGUCAGAGCCUGCCAUUCUCCUUUCUCCAGGAUGCUGCGGUCCCUCCAUAUGACACGGCUUCUCUGGACUCUUGAAUGAAGAGUUAUUUGUAUAGUAUUUGCGUUCGUUAGUGGGAAAGGAAAUAGCACCUUGUUCACAUAAACAUAACCUGUGUCUGUGUUUCCAUGAUCUCUGAUAUAACUUGUUGAAAACGCCUAGCACAGUGCCUGUCUAUGUGGUAGGUGCCCAACUGACACUGUGAUCGUAUUGAUAAAAUUAUUAAUACUAAUAGUUGUUAUUGUCAUUAAUUUUGUGCUUGCAGUAAAAGUAACAGAAAAUAGUGAAAAUUUUCCUUGGAGGUUGCCUUAUACACCCAACCAGCUUGCAGACCAGAUCAGGAAAUCCUAGAGGCUGGUAUGGUGGGAAUGGGUUUACUUUCACUUAAAUUCCUACCACAGGGUAGGAGGUGGUUGGCUGGUGAAACAUCUACCAGCGCAUCACAGCUCCUUGUUGUCAUAAAGGAUUAUGUUUACCUGCUUCCCUGGCAGUGGUAAAAUAAAAAGAUGCGAAGUCAUUAAAGACACUACCACUGUCUUCUGGGAGAAUCUCUUCUCAUCAUAGGCUCAGUCUUUCUGGAUAAUUGGGUGACCACUCACCUCCUGGCCAGUGAUGUCUCUUCUCUUAAUUCUUUUCUUCCUCUUCUUCCUUCUCUUCCUUUGACAUUAGUCAAGCAGCUCCAUGGAGCUUUUUUUGCAGAUUUUUUGAGGUUUUCUACACAGCAAAUCACGUCAUCUGUGAAGAGAGAGUUUAAUUUCUUUUCCAGUCUUCUCCUGAAGUGCCCUCUGUCCACAGAGUGCACCUGCUGAGGAGUCACUGAGGACCAGCUGAGUGACACAGGCAGUUACACACAAGCAUGGAGCCAAGAUACCUGACAGUGGCGUGGACUUCCUGGAAGAAGUGAAUGUGAAUAGAACUGAAAGUAGAGGAGAAAGGGCAUUCUCAUGCAGCAAUGCGAGAAGUGUGAUGAGUCUACAGCUUAGACCCCGGGAUGAGGUAUCUGCCACCCUAACUCCUUCAGCUGCCAUUGGCUAUUUUUGCCCUUGAAGCUGCUGCGCAUCCUGCCUUGCGCAUCCUGCCUUGCGCAUCCCUGAGAGGCCAAGGAAGCCAGCUCUAGUGAAGGCCUGGAACUCUGCUCAGCCUUUGUACCAAGAGCAUUUGUUUCUUACAUUUAAGAUGUGAAGUAAAAAUGAAAGUGGCUUCUGCA